GAUGAACGCUGGCGGCGUGCCUAAUACAUGCAAGUCGAGCGAACAGACGAGGAGCUUGCUCCUCUGACGUUAGCGGCGGACGGGUGAGUAACACGUGGAUAACCUACCUAUAAGACUGGGAUAACUUCGGGAAACCGGAGCUAAUACCGGAUAAUAUAUUGAACCGCAUGGUUCAAUAGUGAAAGACGGUUUUGCUGUCACUUAUAGAUGGAUCCGCGCCGCAUUAGCUAGUUGGUAAGGUAACGGCUUACCAAGGCAACGAUGCGUAGCCGACCUGAGAGGGUGAUCGGCCACACUGGAACUGAGACACGGUCCAGACUCCUACGGGAGGCAGCAGUAGGGAAUCUUCCGCAAUGUGCGAAAGCCUGACGGAGCAACGCCGCGUGAGUGAUGAAGGUCUUCGGAUCGUAAAACUCUGUUAUUAGGGAAGAACAAAUGUUUAAGUAACUAUGCACGUCUUGACGGUACCUAAUCAGAAAGCCACGGCUAACUACGUG
rnacentral:rRNA from 1 species